rnacentral:rRNA from 1 species
AGCAGCCGCGGUAAUUCCAGCUCCAAUAGCGUAUAUUAAAGUUGUUGCAGUUAAAAAAGCUCGUAGUUGAAUUUCGGGGUUAAUAAGUUGGUCGUACCUAUGGUAUGUACUGGCUUUAUUGAUUCCUACCUCUUGACGAACUGUGAUGCCAUUAAUUUGGUGUUGCAAGGAAUCAGGACUGUUACCUUGAAAAAUUAGAGUGUUUAAAGCAGGCUUACGCUUGAAUACAUUAGCAUGGAAUAAUGAAAUAGGACGUUUGAACCUAUUUUGUUGGUUUCUAGGAUCGACGUAAUGAUUAACAGGGAUAGUUGGGGCAUUAGUAUUCAAUUGUCAGAGGUGAAAUUCUUGGA